CACUAUUUCCGAUCUGUUUCCUCUAUAAACCUUCUGAGACCCAUAGCAAACUGCAUAAACUCAUGUCAAGAUCGAAGACAAAGAUACGAAGCCAACGGCAGAAACCCAUAACCACACUAAUCUUUGUCUCCGAUUCUAUGGUAUCUUAGAAACCCAUCUUUCAUUUCAAUCUCUCUUUCACUAUUUCUCAUUGUGAGUUCAUAGUUGGAACUUAGAUCUAUUUUUAGAUCUUGAAAAGAGUUUACGGGAAAAAGUUUAUCAGAAUAGGUCUUGAAUUAGUAGAUCUAUGGCGUUUUUAUUUAUUUUUGCUAGGAUUUUAAUUUCAAAAGAAAGAAGCAGGAUUUACAUGUGGUGAUCAUAUUUGCUAAUAGGGAGAGAGAAAUUGGUGAUUUAAUUGCAAAGUUUAUGGAGAGAGUUGGAAAAGAAGGUGUUAUCACAAUUGUUGUAAGUUUUCAUGUGCUCCGCAUAUAUUUGCUUCUUACUUUAUCUAGAACCAAUCACCAUCUUUAUCACACCAAAACCUGGAAAACCCAGAAUUCCAUAAACUACGAAAAUUCCAGCUCUUCAUAUUUUCCAGAUCUUCAUCGUAUUUCCAUAUCUUCAUCGCAACAAGCCCAUAUUAGUGUUUGUAUUAUUGUUAUUAACUUAUUUAAAUCUAUACUAUUUAUUAUACAUGCUUUUUUCCUAUAUUCCUGUUUAAUAGUUGUCUUAGCUAUUCCAAGUUAAUUUGUUGAUUUGUGAAUGUUGAUAGGUCUGUUACUAAAGGUAUGUUUCUUACAGAGUGUUUGAUGCUUAAUAAAUUAUAGGUUUAAUGUAGAAAAAAUGGAUUUGGAUUUAGAGAUUUUAAUGAUUUUUCAAUUAAUUUUUCUUACCCGUUUCAAAUGUAAUCAAUAGUCUUAAUGUUGCUAGCCUAUGAAUUUAAUUUUAAAUUUCUAACCUUUCUCUCUUUUUCUAUUUAAUUUCAUAUAUUAUUGGUCUCCAUUUAAAAAGGGCUCAAUGAAUUCAUGAAUAUGAAGUGAGAGAAAAAGAUGAUGAUUGCAAGAAAAAUAUAUGCAGAGUUAUCAAUAGUGUAUGUUUUCUACUUAGUUUGAGCAUUUGAAGAGUGUGUCGGGUCAGGCUGCAAGUUCUUAUGUACUGAGAAUUAUGUUUGGAAUUUGGAGUUUUGUAGUAGCUGCUACAGCAAAGUUUCUCCAGGUUGGAUGAUAGCACAGUUCAGCCAGUCUUUUUGAUGUUCUGAUCUUCAUUUUUUUUCGAGUCAGUAAAUGUUUGGUUCAACUCUGGUUCAUCGUGCUCGUCCUGGUUUCUCACAUGUUUCUGUUUUUCAGUUCAUUCUUCCAAUGAAAUAGGUUGAGGUGGCUUCUCUUCAGGUUUGAAUUACCUUUUAUUAAUUGAUAACAAAGCAAAACAUUCUGCAACACCAUCAUUUAUACUCAAGUUACUCAUAAAACUACAAAAUUUAUUUUCUUUUUGUAUUCUCUAUUUGUUUUUAAAAUUAGUUUGGUUUUUUUAUUGGAGUUUGUUUUUUAGAUGAUUAAAGACAAAGAAAGGACAUGAUUCAUUGAAAGAUGAAGGAAUGCAGGAUUUGUUGACAAAAGGGUGAAGAUGAUACAACUGAAAGCAUGCGACCAUUUUAUGUUGAAACGUGAUCGCCCACCACCUGUUAUAAUUCUCUGUCUUGUGUGAGAUGCAGCUGCUAGAUUUCCUGGAAGUACUGGUACUAGAGCAAAUGUUUGUACAUUAAUUUGAUAUUCUCAAUAUGUUGUUGAUGAUGUCACUGAUGCACAAAUUAACCAAGUAGUUGGUGGAGCUUUGGAUAGAUUGCAUUAUGAACGUGAUCUUUGUAUGCAAUUUGAUGGUGAGAGGAAAAUGUGGGCUUAUUUGCAUAGAGAUAUAGAAGAAGAAGAUUUUGAGGAUGAUGUCACGUCAUCCACAAAGAAAUGGAAGAGGCAUAAAAAAGAUGUUGCUGAUAAAUCUGAUCAGCCCCCAAUAACUGUUGCCUGUAAUGGGGCUGUUGAGCAAAGUGGAUAUGAUUUGUGCUCUGAUCUCAAUGUGGAUCCAUCAUGCAUUGAAGAUGAUAAGGGAGUAGUCUAACUUAUUUCUAUUGAUACAAGGCUGAUUGUAGAAUAAUAACAUAUAUAUUAUGGUACUGGAUAGGUAUUGAGAACAGUUAUUCACUACACUAAUAAUCAUCGUUCUUAAUUGAUUAAUAA